AUACGGAGGACGCGAGCGUUAUCCGGAUUCAUUGGGUUUAAAGGGAGCGUAGGCGGGAGCUUAAGUCAGCGGUUAAAUGGUGCGGCUCAACCGUGCCCUGCCGUUGAAACUGGGUUUCUUGAGAGUGCAAGAGGCGGAUGGAAUUCAUGGGGGAGCGGGGAAAUGCUUAGAUAUCAUGAAGAACUCCGAUUGCGAAGGCAGUCCGCUGGGGCACGUCUGACGCUGAUGCUCGAAGGUGCGGGAAUCAAACAGGAUUAGAUACCCUGGUAGUCCGCACGGUAAACGAUGAUUACCCGCUGUCGGCGGUAGACAGUCGGCGGCCAAGCGAAAGCGAUAGGUAAUCCACCUGGGGAGUACGCCGGCAACGGUGAAACUCAAAUGAAUUGACGGGG
rnacentral:rRNA from 1 species